rnacentral:misc_RNA from 1 species
AAGACUAUAGACCUGCGGAGUACCUGCGGAGGGAUCAUUAACACAAUGUCCAUUUGGUGAUCCCGUAGAAUGUCGUGGCUCCUUGAAAAAGGGUCAUCUUCUACAAUGGGAUCCAUCAAACCACAUAGCAAAUUGUUGAAGUCUUCAACAUUAUUAUUAUUAUUAUUUACAAACUUUGUUUGUUUGAAUAAUACAAUUUCAAUAUUGUACUAUAAAAUACAUCAUAUAUACUGUCCUAUG